CCUACGGGUGGCAGCAGUGGGGAAUAUUGGACAAUGGGGGCAACCCUGAUCCAGCCAUGCCGCGUGUGUGAAGAAGGCCCUCGGGUUGUAAAGCACUUUCAGUGAGGAAGAACGCCUGGUGGUUAAUACCCAUCAGGAAAGACAUCACUCACAGAAGAAGCACCGGCUAACUCCGUGCCAGCAGCCGCGGUAAUACGGAGGGUGCGAGCGUUAAUCGGAAUUACUGGGCGUAAAGCGCGCGUAGGUGGCUUGAUAAGUCGGUUGUGAAAGCCCCGGGCUCAACCUGGGAACGGCAUCCGGAACUGUCAAGCUAGAGUGCAGGAGAGGAAGGUAGAAUUCCCGGUGUAGCGGUGAAAUGCGUAGAGAUCGGGAGGAAUACCAGUGGCGAAGGCGGCCUUCUGGACUGACACUGACACUGAGGUGCGAAAGCGUGGGUAGCAAACAGGAUUAGAUACCCCGGUAGUC
rnacentral:rRNA from 1 species